rnacentral:rRNA from 1 species
UACGAAGGGGGCUAGCGUUGUUCGGAAUUACUGGGCGUAAAGCGCGCGCAGGCGGUCUUCCAAGUCAGUGGUGAAAGCCCGGAGCUCAACUCCGGAACUGCCAUUGAAACUGUAAGACUUGAGGAUGAGAGAGGUGAGUGGAAUUCCCAGUGUAGAGGUGAAAUUCGUAGAUAUCGGGAGGAACACCGGUGGCGAAGGCGGCAUCCUGGACCGGCAUUGACGCUGAUGAGCGAAAGCCAGGGGAGCAAAGCGGG